AUGGCUGCACCCGCGCUGGCCAAGCGCCCCUGCAGCAGCCCCUCCGCCUCCGCUUCUUGUCGCGAGGCCAAGCGGCUCCGCCCGGCGCCGGCGCCGGCGCCCAUGGAGAGGCACGACGCCGCUGCUGCCGCUGCUGAGGUGUCGACGACGACGUCGCAGCAGCAGUCGCAGCCGCUGCUCCCGGGCCUGCCGGACCACCUCGCGCAGCUCUGCCUCUCGACGCUGCCGCCGCGCCUCAUGCACGCCGUCUGCCGCCCGUGGCGCCGGCUGCUGUACGCGCCGUCGUUCCCGCCGUUCUUGUCCCUCUACGCGCUUCUUGAGGACGCCGGCGACGGCGGGGCCUCCUUCGCGGCCUACGACCCGAUCGCCGCGCGCUGGGACGGGCUGCCGACGCCGCCGAUGCCAUCGCCGCCCCCGACGCUCUGCCACCCGUCGUUCCUCUCCCGCCGGCUGCCGCUCCAGUCGGUGGCCGCCGCGGGGAAGCUCGUCCUCGUCGCGGGGUCCACGCAGUCGCUCCACCCGGCGCUGUGCCGGCCGCUGGUGUUCGACCCGGCCGCCGCGCUGGCCCCGCGGUGGCAGGUCGGCCCGAAAGUCCCGCUCGCCCCGCGCAGGUGGUGCGCGGCGGGCGCGGCGCGGGGGCGCGUGUUCGUCGCGGGCGGCGUGGGCGCCGGCUACGACCUCGCCGUCGCGCGCUCCGGGGCGACGUGGGACCCCGCCACGCCGUCCGCGCCGUGGGAGCCGCUGCCGCCGCUGCGGGACGGGCGGUUCAGCCGUGACGCGGCGGAGGCCGUGUGCUCGGGCGGGAAGGUCUGCAUGGUCAAUCUCCGCGGCAGCGGCGCCAAGGAGGGGGCCGUGUUCGACCUGGUGGCCGGGCGGUGGGAGGACAUGCCGCCCGGCAUGCUGGCCGGGUGGAAGGGCCCCGCCGCGGCGUCCCCGGACAGCGGCGACAUGAUCUUCGUCGUGGACGAGGAGCGCGGCGCGCUCAACGCCUACGACUGGGGGUCCGACCGGUGGACGACGGUCGCGGAGGCGGGGCGGCUCAAGGGCGCGGCCGAGAUGGCCGCGGGCGGCGGCAGGGUGUGCGUCGUGUCCCACGGCGGCGCGAAGGUGGUGGUCGUGGACGUGACGCCCAAGGCGGGGAGGAGCAGGGGCUCCACGACGCCGGCGCCGCCGCGCAUGUGGGAGGUGGAGGCGCCGGCCGGGCGGCGGGUGGUGUCGCUGCACGUGCUGCCCAGGAUGACGCGCCCCGAGUAG
rnacentral:rRNA from 1 species